GGAUGUGAAGGCGCUCUGGCUGCCACGUCUGUCACCCCAGUGAUCACCAGGGUAGAUUUACACUGACCGGGCUGGCUAGGCCGGUGUCUCCUUUUUCCCUCACCCAUCCCCAUGCUUCCCUCCAGAAGCUCUUUCAGAGGACGCCCUCCCUCCUGAGCCAUGAGGAUCUUUCUUCUGCGCUCUGCUGCUAGAGCCUCCAAACUCUCUAGGUCUGUCUGUAGAACACAGAGUAGUCCAGCUUCCAAGACUCCAGACACAGCAAUGAGGUGCUGUAUAUGGCAGUCUGCCUUUCUUG
ensembl:misc_RNA 7SK 7SK RNA